GCCUCGGUGGCUCUGAGGCGAGAGCGCUGGCCUUCGGAUCCCCAUCUGGCGGGUUCGAAUCCCGGCCGAGGUG
rfam:Ixodes scapularis strain Wikel colony gcontig_1108378661478, whole genome shotgun sequence.